GAUGAAGAACGUAGCGAAACGCGAUAGGUAAUGUGAAUUGCAGAAUUCCGUGAAUCAUCGAAUCUUUGAACGCACAUUGCGCCCGCCAGUAUUCUGGCGGGCAUGCCUGUUCGAGCGUCAUUACAACCCUCAGGCCCCCGGGCCUGGCGUUGGGGAUCGGCGGAAGCCCCCUGCGGGCACAACGCCGUCCCCCAAAUACAGUGGCGGUCCCGCCGCAGCUUCCAUUGCGUAGUAGCUAACACCUCGCAACUGGAGAGCGGCGCGGCCACGCCGUAAAACACCCAACUUCUGAAUGUUGACCUCGAAUCAGGUAGGAAUACCCGCUGAACUUAAGCAUAUCAAUAAGCGGAGGA
rnacentral:misc_RNA from 1 species